rnacentral:lncRNA from 1 species
UGACACUGUCACAUUGGAUUAAUGAUGCAAAGAUUCUUCUCACUGAAGGCCUGGAACAGGCUGUGGUUGGUGGAGGGUCCCAUGCUCCACUGGGAGUAUUUCAGAAGCUACGAUGUGCCUGCGUUCGAGCUAUGCGGCUUUCUCCUUCCAUUUCAGAGUUCAUCCUCUUUGCCCCCCCCCCGCCCCACCCAGCUUCAAGCCCC